AAAACCAAUCAAUCUCCAGGUACAAAAUUGAGAUUGAGGUGGAACACGAUUCCCAGACUGUUAAGUUUGUCUUUUGGGACAAGGAAUGCAUCCCUUAUGUUGGAAUGUCGGCUCAUGCCCUUCGACAAUUAAUGAAAAAGACAAAUGAGGAUCAUCCACAUGUCUCCGACGGAUUUUAGUGUCAAAGAGUUUCCCAUAUGUCUCCGACAGAUUCUCCGUCCACUUCACCCUUGUUGUCGGCCUCUCUGGCGCCGAAAUCACCUCUUCCAUAGUCCUCAUAGCUGGCAUAGCUGAAGUUGCAGCAGGCGCCAUUUCCAUGACUCUGGUUUUGUCGGUUUCGCGAGGCUUUUCUGUUCAGUGUUUGGGUUGACGUCUUUUGUUAAUUUCUGUGCAGGUUAUAAAGUCAACUCAAGUGUGAAAUGCUGUGUUGCUACAGUCUUGGGUACGCAGUCGUAUCAUUCACCGUUUCUUAGUCAGCAUCAACAACACCCCAUAGUUGGACAACUUCAUCACGACAUGAUUUCGGUAACAUUAUAAGAGUUUUUUUGUGAUAAGGUUUAAAUUAACUGUAACCAUUGUUUGAAUUGAGUCUCUAUUUGGUAACCAUGUUUUGUUGCCUGUUCCAUCAAGUAAGUAAGCUAUAAGGUCUUUUGCUGUGAAAUUUGCCAAAGCUUUUGGUGCUAAUGUUACUGUCAUUAGUACAUCAGUUUGUGAUUGGCAUUGGUAACACUUUGAAACCAAGUUCUUAAAUUUUGCAGUUUCAAUUGUCAAUUGAUUUUUGUUCUUGUAUGCAUUAAGUGUAUUAUUACAUAGGAACUGAUUGUUCUUGUAUGCAUUAAGUGUCAAUAUUACAUAUUUCCAACUCCAUGAUAUAGGUUAUGCUGCUCUAUUAAAUUUUUGGUCCUUCAGGUGCGGUUGAAUCCGAACGCUUCUUCACCAAGCUCAUCGAGCAACAGGCAAAUUUCAUGGUGUGACUAUGGGGACUGGAAGCAACCGAAAUAAGGUUACUGGUCCUGCCCAAAAUUCAACAUCUCCUGCAACAAGUCAGGGGACUGUUUUUUAUGUCAACAACUUUAUCCAGCAGUGAGAUUUCUCAGCAUUUGCUACGGUGUACAAUGUUCAAUAAUUCCAACAGUUUCAGAGCUUUUGGUUUGAAGCAUUUUGGAUUAUUUUUCAAUUCAUGUCAUUAGGUAAUCCAAUUGGUGCAUUACUUUUCUCAGCACUUCGAACUGAACGUAUAUAUGACAGUGAGCAUGCAAAGCAACAAGCUUUUGGUCUCAUUGCUUCAAGUGUUUCAUGUGCUGGUCUAGAUUGUUUUAAGAUUACCUUUCUCGUACUUGCUGUUGUGUGUGUUGCUGGUACAAUAUCCAGCCUUGACCUCAAAAAUUCAAAUUUGGUGGGAUAUUUUGUGAAGAUGAAUAGUCUCUCUUUAAGAAAAGUCAAUGAUUUUUAGACAAGUUUAGAUAUGUUAGCCAAAUUAUGAUACAAACAUGUAUAUUCAAAUUUGCAGAAAGGAUGGUUAAUGUUGAUGGCCUGAAUAUUAUAACUUAUGCAUGGCAGCUGGUUUGCACAUCCAUAUUUAAUAGAGAUGUGAACUUAAGGUUAUCUAUGUUUAAGUGAUCUAUGGUUAUGUUAAACUAGUUAGUUUCACUAUUUCACUAGACAAAUGGUAAUUUUCAAGACUCAACUGCUUUUGCUGUUAUAGUGACAGUCUUUGUAUUAUCUCUAGCGUGGAUGACACGUAUUUUGCUGUUAAACUUGUAUGACAAUAUAUUAUUAGCCUGUUAAUUAUCAUGUUUCUUUCUUAUUCUCUUCGAAUGAAGAAGUGAGGCUCCAAAAACAACCCACCAUAUCAAAAAGAAGUAACAUCUUACUUUCUAUGAGUAAGAGUAUUUUGUCAAGAUUUUAGUGUGUUGAAUAAAACCGUCUUUAACUAUAUCGAUCAAAUUAAGUCGUGUAUGGGGAUGCAUAAGUCAUCUUUUAGACUUCAUGCCAAGGCAUUGUUAUACUAUUAAGACAAAAAUUUGGUAGUGAAUCUCUGAAUUUGUCAAAAUUGUUUAAUUAGUGAAUCUAUUGGUCUAUCGGUGCAUGAAGCUUAUGCUUAUGCGUCACCCCGUGUCUAGGUCACUGCCAAAUCCAUUCUAUUUGACUUUGUCUACUGAUAAUGGAAGAUAAUAUGAAUUGUGAAUCUCUAAAUACAAUAUGGUAUCUGAUGUUGUGUAUACAUGAUACUUGAACUUUAGGGCUUCAAAUGCUUCAUCAUCGACAAGAAUGACUCACGUUGGUAGUUCUACCAUCUUAUUAUCUCGGCUCUUGUUUGCUAGCCAUUGGGUUUUAUACUUUGAAGCUUUUGAACAUGUUUAUCUUAAUUUGGCUCUCUUAUAAUAAAUAAAAAAAUCUAAACCUAAACCCACACAUCACAUUAUAGUUGGAGACAGAUAAAAAAACAAAAGUGACAUUGGUCAAGUCACUCCUCUUCCAUCUUUGUGUGUAGACGUUGUUCUUUUAGUUUUUAAUAGUACAUUCAAUUUAACCUGUUAGUUGUUUAACUCGAAGUCUAAAUUGACACAUAAUUUUCAAUCCUGAUUCUUUUUUAUAUAAGACUGAAUUAUGAAGCAAAUAAUUGGUACAUGCUAUGAGUCACAUGGAUUUUAUUACAUUCGGACUACAUUCGGACUUCACAUACAAUUGUUUUCUCUUCUACUACAAAAUUGAAUAAUAAAAAAAAUGAAGUACCAAAACUAUAGUACAUGGUAUCCAAUAAAUGUGUGUACAAUGGUAUUGGUGGGCUAUCGGUCUUGAUUUGAAACUAUGUGUUGGCGGAUAAAUGUGUGUACCUAGUAUUGGUAUUUAUGGGCUAUCGGUCUUGUUCGAAACUAUGCGUUGGCGGAUAAAUGUAUGUACCUAGUAUUGGUAUGGAUGGGCUAUCGGUCUUGAUUCGAAACUAUGCGUUAGCGGAUAAAUCUGUGUACCUAGUAUUGGUAUUGGUGGGCUAUCGGUCUUGAUUCGAAACUGUGUUGACGGAUAAAUUUGUGUACCUAGUAUUGGCAUUGGAGGGCUAUCGGUCUUGAUUCAAAUGCGUUGGCGGAUAAAUGUGUCUACCUAAUAUUGGUAUUUGUGGGCUAUCGGUCUUGAUUCGAAACUAUGUGUUGGCGGAUAAAUGUGUGUACCUAGUAUUGAUAUUGGCGGGCUAUCGGUCUUGAUUCAAAGCUAUGCGUUGGCGGAUAAAUGUGUGUACCUAGGAUUGGUAUUGGUGGGCUAUCGGUCUUGAUUAGAAUGCGUUGGUGGGUAAAUGUGUGUACCUAGUAUUGGUAUUUAUGGGCUACCGGUCUUGUUCGAAACUAUGCGUUUGCGGAUAAAUUUGUGUACCUAGUAUUGGUAUUGGUGGGCUAUCGGUUUUGAUUCGAAACUAUGUGUUGGCGGAUAAAUGUGUGUACCUAGUAUUGGUAUUGGUGGGCUAUCGGUCUUGAUUCUAAGCUAUGCGUUGGCGGAUAAAUGUGUGUACCUAGGAUUGGUAUUGGUGGGCUAUCGGUCUUGAUUAGAAUGCGUUGAUGGGUAAAUGUGUGUGCCUAGUAUUGGUAUUUAUGGGCUAUCGGUCUUGUUCGAAACUAUGUGUUUGCGGAUAAAUUUGUGUACCUAGUAUUGGUAUUGGUGGGCUAUCGGUCUUGAUUUGAAACUAUGUGUUGGCGGAUAAAUGUGUGUACCUAGUAUUGGUAUUGGUGGGCUAUCGGUCUUGAUUCAAAGCUAUGAGUUGGCGGAUAAAUGUGUGUACCUAGGAUUGGUAUUGGUGGGCUAUCAGUCUUGAUUAGAAUGCGUUGGCGGAUAAAUCUGUGUACCUGGUAUUGAUAUCGGUGGGCUAUUAGUCUUGAGUUAAAUCAUGCGUUGGCGGAUAAAUUUGUGUACCUGGUAUUGGUAUUGGUAAUGGUAGGCUAUCGGUCUUGAUUUAAAACUAUGUGUUGGCAGAUAAAGUAUGUACCUGGUAUUGGUAUUGGUAUUGGUGGGCUAUCGGUCCUGAUUAGAAUGCGUUGGUGGGUAAAUGUGUGUACCUAGUAUUUGUAUUUAUGAGCUAUCGGUCUUGUUCGAAACUAUGCGUUUGCGGAUAAAUUUGUGUACCUAGUAUUGGUAUUGGUGGGCUAUCGGUCUUGAUUCGAAACUAUGUGUUGGCGGAUAAAUGUGUGUACCUAGUAUUGGUAUUGGUGGGCUAUCGGUCUUGAUUCAAAGCUAUGCGUUGGCGGAUAAAUGUGUGUACCUAGGAUUGGUAUUGGUGGGCUAUCGGGCUUGAAUAUAAUGCGUUGGCAGAUAAAUCUGUGUACCUGGUAUUGAUAUCGGUGGGCUAUUGGUCUUGAGUUAAAUCAUGCGUUGGCGGAUAAAUUUGUGUACCUGGUAGUGGUAUUGGUAAUGGUGGGCUAUCGGUCUUGAUUUGAAACUAUGUGUUGGCAGAUAAAGUAUGUACCUGGUAUUGGUAUUGGUGGGCUAUCGGUCUUGAUUAGAAACUAUGUGUUGGCGGAUAAAUGUUUGUACCUGGUAUUGGUAUUGGUGGGCUAUUGGUCAUGUUUCAAAACUAUGCGUUGGCGGAUAAAAGUGUGUACCUGGUAUUGGUAUCAGUGGGUUAUCGGUCUUGAUUCAAAACUACGCGUUGGCGGUUAAAUGUGUCUACCGGGUAAUGGUAUUUGUGGGCUAUCUGUCUUGAUUCGAAACUAUGCGUUGGCGGAUAAAUGUGUGUACCUGGUAUUGGUAUUGGUAUUAGUGGGCUAUCAGUCUUUAUUCGAAACUAUGUGUUGGCGGAUGAAAGUGUGUACCUGGUAUUGGUAUUGGUGGGCUAUCGGUCUUGAUUCAAAAUUAUGUGUUGGGGGAUAAAUGUGUGUACCUGGUAUUUGUAUUGGUGGACUAUCGAUCUUGGUUCAAAAGUAUGUGUUUGCGGAGAAAUGUGUGUAACUAGUAUUGGUAUUGGUGGGCUAUCGGUCUUGAUUCGAAACAAUGUGUUGGCGGAUAAAAGUAUGUACCUUAUAUUGGUAUUGGUGGGCUAUCGGUCUUGAUUCGAAACUAUGCGUUGGCGGAUAAAUGUGUCUACCUAGUAUUGGUACUGGUGGGCUAUUGGUCUUGAUUCGAAAAUAUGCGUUGGCGGAUAGAUGUGUGUGCCCGGUAUUGGUACUGGUGGGUUAUCGAUGUUGAUUGGAAACUAUGAGUUUGGCGGAUAAACACGUGUACCUGGUAAUGGUACUGGUGGGCUAUCGGUCUCGAUUCGAAACUAUGUAUUGACGGAUAAAUGUGUGUACCUGGUAUUGGUACUAGUGGGCUAUCGGUCUUGAUACGAAACAAUGCGUCGGGGGACAAUUAUGUGUACCUGGUAUUGGUACUGGUGGACUAUCAGUCACAAUAAUGUUUUCAAAUUUCAUUUUGUUCUAGAAUUUGAAUUGUCAUAGUGUUGAUUAAGCUAUAUGACGGAACCAGUUUAUUUGUUGUGGAUAUUGGUAGGGUCAUCAGAUAAGCCUAAACAUUUGAUCUUUUGCAGUUGAUGGGAUCUGUGGGUGCUUUAAUUUGGCCGGAUAGUGGAUCAGGCUGUUUUGAUUGUGGUUGUAACUGGAUCAGAAAAUCGGUAGUUGACACUCGCCGUGUUGGCGCAGUCAGACAACAUUUUGCAGCAAUUUUUAUCGCUUAGUGGUUUUUGUGCAGCUGUGUACUUGUCAAUAGCUUGGGAUGAUUUUGGUAUUACGGUGGGAAAGCUUGGCAUUUGGAGUGGUUCACCACUAGGAUCGAUAACGGCGAACGGCGAGUAUUUUCUAGGAUAGUCAGCAUAAUUUGGUUCACUUCCAAGGGAUCCUAAAGAAUUAAAGUGAGCUCUUGUACCAAAAGAUGUUGCACGACAGGUACACACAUUUAUCCGCUAUUAUUGUCAGCAUAUUUUGGAACUGCUAUUAUUGUUGAGCUGGUUAAAACUAAAGAUAAAGACAUUGUUUAUUUCCACUUUCCAAUCAAAGGCUUGGAUGGUCAAGAACAUUAAGAAAAUUGUGUUAGUUGUGUUGGUAUUGGGAAUAUCAGUUUUGGCACAUUAUGCCGAUCACCAAUUAAGAGGUUUUGCUGAAUUAAUGUGAUACUGUUUUGCUGGUUUUAGUCUAGGUGGUGUCUGCCUCUAGAAGUUGAGUUUUUUUUAUUCUGUAGUUUGGAUUGCUUCAAUGCCUUUAUGGCUGACUCUAUUUUUGUUUUGUAUUGGCAUAUCUUAUGCCAGGGAUAUAUUUUAGUUAUUAAUAAAUGACUUUGUUGCCUUUUUAAAAUUUUGUUUACUUCAUUGUCACCAUAUUUAUUCUUUUAAUUUGAUGAAAGAAGUGCUUCAAAUAUUUAUCAAUAGCGAUAAAGGUUGCAGGUUAAGCAUUGGUCCUAGAAAUUGGUUAAAUUGUGUGAUUAUGGAAAUAGAGAUUGAUUGAGUUAAAAGAUUCGGCAUAUAAGUGUAAGCGAAGUUGAAUUGACUGAGAAAAGAAGUGGGUGAAAAGGCAUAUAAUGCAGUGGUGGCAACUUUAACUGAGAUUAAUAAAUAUAAUCCUAGUGGGCGAUAUGUAGUCUCUGAAUUAUGAAACUACAAAACUGGAAAAACAACAACUUUGAAGGAAGGAGUACAAUUUUUGUUGAACACAUGGAAGCGCAAGAAAGGAAUGUUGUAAAGGUUUUUAUACAACUUUAUUCCUAUAUGUGUUUCAAAUAAGAGAAAAGUUUAAUACACCCUUAUACGGGUGGAAUAAAUUUUUGAAAAUUCGAAAAUGUCCUCCGGAGAUGCAUCUUCAAACGCACCCAAAAUCAAUUUUCGAUGUGUUUCAAAAAUAAUAUUUUAACUGCUGAAUGGUUGUUUCACAAUAAUAUUUGAUGUUUUGCUGUAUGGUUGGAGCUAUCUUUGCAGGAUGGAUUAACUGUUGACCGACUGUUUCACAAUAAUGUUUUAACAUUUCAUUUUGCUCUAUUCUAUAUAAUCGUUGGUUAGAUUCUGUUGAAGGUAAAAUUGAAAGAGGGGCAAUGAUUAUAAUGAGAGAUGACUUUAGUAGGAAAUACCCAAUUGCAUCCCAAAAUCAAAAAAAAAAGAAAAGAAAAACAAAUAUAGGCCAGAAUUUGAAGGUGCCGCCAUCCCUUUUCAUCGAAGGGGUUUGGCUUUGGUAUCACAGAUUCUGCCUUCUUCUUCUUUCUCCUCUUCGUAUUUCCGUCCCUUCCAAUUGAAUUGGGUUUUUUUCCUACUGUGAUAGAUCUUUCAAAAUUUACACUUGAUAUGAGCCCUGAAACUUUUCAUAUUCUUUACGAAUUCUUGAUUUUUAUCAACUUUGUUUUUUUUUUUUAGAUUUGUUGUCGGUUUUUUGCACUCAGUUACAUUUAGUUCAAUUUUCUGUAGUUUUUUUAACCUAAAUUUUUGGGGUUUUAUAAUAAGUAGAAAACAUUAGUUUGCAUAUGUAUACCGACUUUGAAUCUAUGUUCAAACAGUUCUUUUGGACUGGGAGGAAAAUCAACUCAGUGAAGUGGGAUAUGAUUUAAAUUCCUACAGACAAUUGACUCAAGUGAGGCUUGAGAAUUUUUUUUCAAGGGUUUUAAGAAAGCCCUCUUGGUGGGCUAUCGGUCUUGAUUCGAAACUAUGAGUUGGCGGAUAAAUGUGUAUACCUAUUAUUGGUAUUAGCGGGCUAUCGGUCUUGAUUCGAAACUAUUCGUUGGCGGAUAAAUGUGUGUACCUAGUAUUGGUAUUAGUGGGCUAUCGGUCUUGAUUAGAAACUAUGCGUUGGCGGAUAAAUGUGUAUACCUGGUAAUGAUAUUGGUGGGCUAUCGGUCUUGAUUAGAAACUAUGCGUAGGCGGAUUAAUGUGUGUACCUAGUAUUGUUAUUGGUGGGCUAUCGGUCUUGAUUCGAAACUAUGCGUUGGCGGAUAAAUUUGUGUACCUAGUAUUGGUAUUGGUGGGCUGUCGGUCUUGAUUCGAAACUUUGAAUUGGCGGAUAAAUGUGUGUACCCAGUAGUGGUAUUGGUGGGCUAUCGGUCUUGAUUCGAAAGUAUGCGUUGGCGGAUAAAUGUGUGUACCCAGUAGUGGUAUUGGUGGGCUAUCGGUCUUGAUUCUAAAGUAUGCGUUGGCGGAUAAAUGUGUACCUAGUAUUGGUAUUUGUGGGCUAUUGGUCUUGUUCGAAACUAUGUGUUGGUGGAUAAAUGUGUGUACCUGGCUGCUAUUGGUAUUGGUGGGCUAUCGAUCUCGAUUUGAAACUAUGCCUUUGCGGAUAAAUGUAUGUACCUGGUAUAGGCGGGCUAUUGGUCUUGAUUUGAAACUACUGAGUACGAAGAGAAAUGUUAUGAAGAACAAAAAAAUAGAAGUCAGAAUGUGAAAACCUUGGACGAGAAGUUCACCUAUGCAUACUAUCCGAAGAAAAGAAAACAAGAUUACUUAUACAAGGAGCAUUAGGAUUUGCAUUCCUAUAGACCAGUGACUCAAUUGAGGCUUCAGAAUAAAUUUUUUUGAGGGUUUUUAAGGAAGUCCUCUUGAUUAAAUGGGAGUGGAAGAUCAGAUUUGAGAGGAGACGAGGGAAACAGUUAAUGGUGGUGGAGAGUAAUCCAUAACUUGGACAUUGGUGGCAUGUAUUUGCAGAACAAUAUUCUAUUAGAACAUAGCUAUAUAAAAUACAUAUAUUAGAUUGAUAUAUGAAAAAACCAUAAAUGUCACUCAAAAUUGAAUAAUAAAAAAAAUAAGUACCAAAAUUAUAGUACAUGGUAUCCAAUAAAUGGUAUUGGUGGGCUAUUGGUCUUGAUUCGAAACUAUGCUUUGGCGGAUAAAUGUGUAUACCUAGUAUUGGUAUUAGUGGGCUAUCGGUCUUGAUUCGAAACUAUGCGUUGGCGGAUAAAUGUGUGUACCUAGUAUUGGUAUCGGUGGGCUAUCGGUCUUGAUUCAAAUGGGUUAGCGGAUAAAUGUGCGUACCUGGUAAUGGUAUUGGUGGGCUAUCGGUCUUGAUUCGAAACUAUGCGUUGGUGGAUUAAUUUGUGUACCUAGUAUUGGUAUUGGUGGGCUAUCGGUCUUGAUUUGAAACUAUGCGUAGGCGGAUAAGUGUGUACCUAGUAUUGGUAUUGGUGGGCUAUCGGUCUUGAUUAGAAACUGUGCGUUGGCGGAUAAGUGUGUACCCAGUAGUGGUAUUGGUGGGCUAUCGGUCUUGAUUCUAAAGUAUGCGUUGGUGGAUAAAUGUGUACCUUGUAUUGAUAUUUGUGGGCUAUCGGUCUUGUUCGAAACUAUGCGUUGGUGGAUAAAUGUGUGUACUUGGUAUUGGUGGGUUAUCAGUCUCGAUUUGAAACUAUGCUUUGGCGGAUAAAUGUGUGUACCUAUUAUAGGUGGGCUAUUGGUCUUGAUUCGAAACUACUGAGUACGAAGAGAAAUGUUAUGAAGAACAAAAAAUGGAAGUUAGAGUGUGAAAACCUCGGACUAGAGGUUCACCUAUCCAUACUGUCCGAAGAAAAGAAAACAAGAUUAUUUAUUGAAGGAGCUUCUGCAACAUGCUUCUGGGGUGGGUCAGAGUAUUUCACAAAAGCAAAAUCCAAGAGAAAAGGCAACUCAUUUGGCUUUAGUGAAGUAUUUAGAAAAGGAUCUUAUGAAUGUAGAUGUAGAUGCUCCAAAGGAACCAGUUGAUGAUGAUAAAAGUGACACUCCUAUUGAUUCUGAUGAGCAGUUUGUGUGGCCUUGGAUGGGAAUAAUAGUUAAUAUUCCAACUAGCAAAAUUGAAGGGCGCAAAGUUGGUGCAAGUGGUUCCAAGAUUAGAGAUGAGUAUAGAAGUAGGGGUUUCAAUCCAGGUUGAGUAAAUCCUUUAUGGAACUACAAAGGUCACUCUGGAACUGCUCUUGUGGAAUUCAAUAAAAACUGGCCUGACUUAGAUAAUGCACUUGCAUUUGAAAAAUUGUAUGCGUUAGAACAUCAUGGAGAUAAACUCGGAGGCAAGAUAAAAUCGUGUCCAAUUUGACCAACAUUAUUCAAGUGAAAAACAAGCACUUAACUGAGAUUGAAGCAAGAUGCACCGAGACUUCGGCGAAAAUGAAUUCUGCCAUGACAAAUAAAUUUACUCAUUCAAUCUUAUAAUGAAGGUAGAUAGUAUAUGUUGUGGUUGUGGGUGUUUAGUUUUCAUGUUUCUGUUUUGCGACUGGUGCUUUGGUUACACAUACAACGGCCACUGUGGUGGUGCCAAAUAUUGCUAGAAUCAUUGCAAUGAUUGCACCCUAAAAUAUGGCAUAGUUUAAUUGAUUUCGGAUGAAUAUUAUGCUUGAACUUUGUUUUAAAAUUUUUAGAGAUGAAGAAAGUACAAGCAAGUGCUAAGGAUCACUUCCAAAGGAUUAUUAAUGAUCACGAAAAGCUUAAAUCGCAACUGGAAUCUCAUAAAAGUGAGCUUUAAUUGCGGAGAAUUGCUCUGGAAAAACGUGAAGCACAUAAUGAAAGUGAAAGAAAAAAGUUGACAUUGAGCCAUUCCUUCAUUCCUUGAAGCUAUGAAGCAAAGAUAUAAUGAGGAGGAAGCCGAAGACAAAGCUACAAAACUAUGUUCAUUGUGGGAAAAGUUACUAAAAGACCCAGAUUGGCAUCCGUUCAAAGUUGUCAUGAUCGACGGCAAAGAAAGAGCAUGUUUUGAUUCAGGAAUUUAUUAAAGAAGAUGAUGAAAAGCUGAAUGGAAUGAGAAAAGAAAUGGGUGAAAAGGCAUAUAUGUGUGUGUACCUAGUAUUGGUAUUGGUGUGCUAUCAGUCUUUGAUUUGAAACUAUGCGUUGGCGGAUAAUUGUGUGUACCUGGUAUUGGUAUUGGUGGGCUAUCGGUCUUGAUUCGAAACUAUGCGUUGGCGGAUAAAUGUGUGUACCUGGUAUUGGUACUGGUGGGCUAUUGGUCUUGAUUCGAAAAUAUGCGUUGGCGGAUAAAUGUGUGUGCCCGGUAUUGGUACUGGUGGGUUAUCGACGUUGAUUCGAAACUAUGCGUUUGGCGGAUAAAUGUGUGUACCUGGUACUGGUACUGGUGGGCUAUCGGUCUCGAUUCGAAACUAUGCGUUGACGGAUAAAUAUGUGUACCUGGUAUUGGUACUAGUGGGCUAUCGGUCUUGAUACGAAACAAUGCGUUGGCGGACAAUUAUGUGUACCUGGUAUUGGUACUGGUGGACUAUCAGUCACAAUAAUGUUUUCAAAUUUCAUUUUGUUCUAGAAUUUGGAUUGUCAUAGUGUUGAUUCAGCUAUAUGAUGGAACCCGUUUGUUUGGUGUGGAUAUUGGUAGAGUCAUCAGAUAAGCCUAAACAUUUGAUCAUUUGCAGUUGAUGGGAUCUGUGGGUGCUUUAAUUUGGCCGGAUAGUGGAUCAGGCUGUUUUGAUUGUGGUUGUAACUGGAUCAGAAAAUCGGUAGUUGACGCUCGCCGUGGUAGCGCAGCCAGACAGUAUUUCGCAGCAAUUUUAAUCGCGUGUGGUACUGGUGGUUUAAGCUAACUAGAGCAGUUUUGCUUUGAAGCAUAGCUGUCAUGCGCAGGCUCGCAUAGUGGUUUUUGUGCAGCUGUGUACUUGUCAAUAGCUAGGGAUGAUUUUGGUGUUACAGUGGGAAAGCUUGGCAUUUGGAGUGGUUCACCGCUAGGAUCGAUAACGGCGAAAGGUGAGUAUUUUCUAGGAUAAUCAGCAUAAUUUGGUUCACUUCCAAGGGAUCCUAAAGAAUUAAAGUGAGCUCUUGUACCAAUAGAUGUUGCACGGCAGGGUGUUUUCGUGUAAUUAUCAAUCGGUGCAGCAAGGUGGUGAAAGUCACGGAUCAUGUAGGUUUUAUCCGGAAAUUUGGUUACUGUAUCGUGGGUGUUCGUCAAUUUGAGGCGCCGAUCUGGAACGUUUACCCGGUCAGAAGUGAAAAGGAAAUUGAUUCAGAUUUUAAUAAGUGUCGGUGACAAUGUCCUGCAGAUUUCAAUAGUUCAGAGCAUUCAUAUUUUGGUGGCGUAGUAGCGGUGUUCCUGCUAUCCUUUAGUUAAUAGCUAGUGAUGUUCAGGGUACUGUGUUGGCUGCUUGUCAAGUUUUGAAGAUUGCAAAUGACAGCGGCACCAGAAUUAUAUGAUUCUUCUCAUCUUUUCAGCAGACUGUUUCGGAAUUUUAGAGUUCGCUUUCAGUUUAUACCAGCUCUGAACAUUUAAUCAUUGCGUAGUGGCCGCAAAUUGGUGUGGUUGAUUUCAGCUAUGAUCAUGUUGUUAUUCUGAAUAUUAGCUUGUGAAUGAUUGUGUUGAAACAGUGGAUUCCUUAUCCAUCACACUGGAAUUUCAUUAUUUUCCCAAGUAUACUCGCCUCAAUUAGACUCAACUCCUCCAAGAUGAGUUCAUGUUGCACAUCGGAUACUUCUGUUUUUGUACUAGGUUAGCUAACUUCUCAUAUUGUGGUACUUGCUCACUUGUUCUUAAUCUUCAUUAGUAUAUAUGAGGAUUAGAGUAUUCAAUAUUUAUUUUGCAGAGUUUGUGAGAAUACUAAGGAAAGUUAGUAUUGGAACAUAAUCACCAUAUAAUGCUCAAGUUUUUGAAAAUCAAGACAAAAUAAAGCAAUACACUUUUGUUUCUAAUACUGGUUUCUCUAUGAGUGUUCGUUCAAUAAACAAUUUUCAAUAUGGAGAGGAACAUAUUAUAAUAAUGUCUAUUGUGAGAUCAAAUUUUAAUGAAAAAGUGAGUUUUCUUUCAAAUAGGCAAAGAACAAAUAUCAUUUGAUUUUAGAUCUGGGAACUAGAGCCAGGAACUUAUAUAUGUGUAGCUAUUUAUUUAUUUCAAACAUGUUAUUUUGAUGUUAUUUUCUUUCGAAUGACUAGUGCGCCAGGAACUCACCUUUUAUAGCUAUUUAUUUAUUUCAAACAUGGAGUUUUACCGUCUUACACGAUUGGAUUGAUGUUAACUAGGAAAUUGUCUUGAGUUUUGGAGGUGUUUAUUGAUGAGUGAAGCCGAAGAGUUUUACCGUCUUAACAGAUUUAUCUUGAUUGUUGACAAUAUAACCUUUGGUGUGAUCUAGUUUUGGAAAGAGGAGCUUUCUGCUGGGUUGAAAUUAUGGUCUGUAUUAGUUUAUCAGUUGGUUUGCAGCAGUUUUUUUAUGGCCUGUACUAUUUUUUGAGUUGGUCUUUAUGACGUAGUGAAUGCUUAAACCCUUUUAUAUACCCAUGCUUUGUAACAUGGUGUACUAACAUUUUGUACUUGUUACACUAGCAUCUCUCAUGCUAGUUAAAGUUUUAAUAUGAAUAUCUUUUUGCCUUUUUAAAAAAAAAAGAGGUUUCUUAGACAAAUAUGCAAGUGGACAAAUAUUCUUAAUUAGUAUCUUAUAGGAUAAUCCAUUUAGUCUUUUCUAUUGGUUUGAUUAUCACUAACAACAUGCUAUAAUAUUUGAAAAGAAGACGAAAUGCUAUAAUAGACAAAAAGACAAAAUUUAUAGUCUAGUGAUAUACUGAUAUUUAACACCUUUAUGAUGUUUUAUGAUUAAGAAAUUAGAUAAUGUCUACAUAAUUUAUGUCUUUUUUGGACUUCAAAAGAAUUAUGAGUUAGUUCGGAGCCAUAUCCUUUUUUGAGCUUGAGAUACCACCAGCCUGACAGGUAUUAGUCAGGUAUUAUGCUUUUGCUUUUGGUUUUAGACGUCGUGGAGAUGGUUAAGAAAGGUGAAGUGUAGAUUGUCCUAAGUGCAUUUACUGCAAGAAAUUUGGUCAUAUUGAUUAUAAGCAUUAUUCUUUUAUUGGCUUCAUAGAAGCACUAGUAAAUUUGACUUUGCCUACUGAUAAUGGAAGAAAAAAUGAAGGUAAAAUUGGUUAAGAUUCAAUGAAGGUCCAUUUCCAACUAUUCUGAAUUUUCGGUUAUUCAGAACCAUGGUCUCGCAGUUGGUGAAGCAUGAGCGUAUCGAAACUACUGUUGCCAAGGCUAAGGAGGUUAGAAGGCUGGCAGAUAAUAUGGUACAGCUUGGAAAAGAGGUUAGUGCUUGUAAAAUUUGAGCAAUUUAAGCAAUUUUGAGAAGUUCAUGUGAGGUUAAGUUCAUCUUUUUACAAUAAAUUAGUAUCUUUAGUUUGAAAUCGAUUGAAUUGAACCCAUAUCUUUGUUUUUUGCAAUUAUUGAAGAGCUGGUAUGGUUGCAAUUUGCAAGGUUAUUAACUAGUGGUAUACUUAUGUGUAAUGAGGUUUAUGUACUCUUUUGAUAGACAUCACUUACAGUAACUCUUUAUCUCUCGUUCUUUUAUUAAUCAACAAACGGUAUUUUAUCAAACUGCUUUUAGUUUGUAUGGUAAGGGAAGUUCAAAAUUCGGAUCAGAUAUGGAAUAUACACUUAGACAUGUGUAGUCUUUAGUUAUCUUCAGCCUGCUUUUAAUACUGAGUGAUGCCAAUGUAUUUCAGUUGUAUGGAUGUUUCAAUUUUUAAGCUUAGAAACACCUCAUGCGAAAGGGCAAAAAGGACGCUCUCUUUUGCUUUUGUCACCACUAUUGAGGUAGACAAUUUAUUUCAAUUUUCAAGGAAUAGACUUUUCUUCAUCUAUCACUCGUGCCAAGUUUGAAGAAAUCAAUGCAGACCUUUUUAAAGAGUAUGAAAAUAGUAAAGAGUUGUCUUGUGGAUUCUUAGAGGCUCAGCUCUAGGCAAAAAUAAUUUUUUAAGGAACAAAACAAACCUCUGGUUACCUUUAGGAAGUCUACUUUGUGAAUGAAUUAUUGCUAUAAUGCAUCAAGUGAGAACUGUCCCCCUCAACGUGGUCUGCAGCAAUGCACCAGGCAUGCACUUUUGUGGCAUAAGUUUCCCUUCAAGUCAGUUCAAGAUCAAGGCAGUCUCAGCCAGAAAUAAGUGCCCAUCCAAAGAGCUCAUGGCAGAGGCUAUAUGGAACCAUUGCGUAGAAUCAGCAUCAUAACUUCACCUAAGCUUAAGUCGAAUGUUAUCUUUUUUUGGUUUUUCACCACCGGUAUAAUCCGAUCAGCCUCCUUCCAAUCGAAUUUACGGGGGAUCGAACCGUAGUCCUCCCUACCAAAUCUAGUACCAAUCACCACUGGACUAACUAACUAUUGAUUAUGAUGGACUAAUUUAUUACAACUCUUUACAAAGUGAUUUUUACAAUAUUAUAAAUUUAUGUCUAAAAGUUAAAAAGGUUUUUCUUUAAAGAAAAAUUAAAAUAAAAGAUUUUAUUUCAAAUCUUUUAUUUGUUCAACUUCCAAAUUGCAACGGUAACUGUGUUUAGUAUAAUUAUUUCAAGUGAUCCUUCCAACUUCCACCACUUUCAAGUAUACAAGGUAUAUCAACCGUAGCAUCCUUCACGUUCCAUUAAAUAGUUAGAAUCUUUUUCACACAUUUCACAUAUCCAAGCGGAAGUGCUAUCACCACCAUCACCAAACAAGAAAAAAAAAAACUAACGAAAGAGUAAACAGUUGGAAUCGUGCAACCUUAAUCCACUCUCAUUUCGCUUUCUUCACAGAUUUUACGUAAGCUAAAUUCAAACCCAUUUCGUUUAAUUCUCUUUUACGCUUCACAGCUUACUGCGUUCUGCUCUAAAACCCUAGUCUAUAAUGGCGACAGAACAGGUCCCCUACUCCUCAAAGUCAAUUAAGGUAAGUCUUCCUCUUUUCAAUUUCAAUUACUAUGAUAUUUAUAUCACUUCUAUUUUAAUUCACUGAGUUGCAAAUGAUAUUCUUCAAUUAGUACCUACAUGAUUUGUUUCUGUCUUGUUUUGAAUUAAAGCUCACAAUAUAAUUCCACUUAAUUUUGCUAUCUUGUUAUCUUUCUUUUCUAGGAUCAAAAAGACAAAUCACAAGAUGUUAAGCUUGCAACAAGCUUAACAACACUUUCGAGCCUUAAAUUGACAAGUGAAAAGAAAAAGUUAAUGGAAAAUUCCAUUUUUUCUACUUUGUUGAAAGUCAAAGAUGGAAAAGAGAGUUCUGCAACUCUCAUAUCAAGUUUUUGCAAAUUAUAUGAACAUAAAAAUCGAAGGUUUGUCUUAAACAAUGAGACUUCCUUCACUUUUUGUGUC